UUAUAUUAUGUGAUAAUCAGUCUGCAGUGCACCUGAUUCAUACUCCUGUUCUUCAUUCAAAGACCAAACGUAUGAAAAUUGAUCUCUUCUUUGUUAGAGAAAAAGUUCUGGCCAAAUCCAUCUCUGUGCAGCAGGUCAUCUAGUAUUGUAGCUCAAAACUGACUGGUGUCAGUUUUGUAUAGGGUUACCUGCUACUGCAUGUCAUCUACGGUAGAAUAUAAAUUCUAGUUGUAACAAACACUGUAACUAACUUUCGCAGAAAAGAGAAAACAGUUAUAGGUUUCUAAUAAAUGAUAAUCAACUCUAUAUUAUAUUCUCCUAUUUAUACAAAUAGCCGUAUAAUAACCU
rnacentral:lncRNA from 1 species